rnacentral:rRNA from 1 species
GAUGAACGCUGGCGGCGUGCCUAAUACAUGCAAGUCGAGCGAAUGGAUUAAGAGCUUGCUCUUAUGAAGUUAGCGGCGGACGGGUGAGUAACACGUGGGUAACCUGCCCAUAAGACUGGGAUAACUCCGGGAAACCGGGGCUAAUACCGGAUAACAUUUUGAACCGCAUGGUUCGAAAUUGAAAGGCGGCUUCGGCUGUCACUUAUGGGUGGACCCGCGUCGCAUUAGCUAGUUGGUGAGGUAACGGCUCACCAAGGCAACGAUGCGUAGCCGAGCUGAGAGGGUGAUCGGCCACACUGGGACUGAGACACGGCCCAGACUCCUACGGGAGGCAGCAGUAGGGAAUCUUCCGCAAUGGACGAAAGUCUGACGGAGCAACGCCGCGUGAGUGAUGAAGGCUUUCGGGUCGUAAAACUCUGUUGUUAGGGAAGAACAAGUGCUAGUUGAAUAAGCUGGCACCUUGACGGUACCUAACCAGAAAGCCAUGACUAACUACGUGCCAGCCGCCGCAGUAA